UCUAAGAGUAGAAUAAAAUGUCGGAACAACCAAUAUCUGUGCCUAAAGGUGAUGAGAAAGAAAAGAGCCUUGCUGAAGAGGGUGCGAAGAAACUUAAGCCAUGUUGUGCAUGCCCUGAGACCAAAAGAGCGAGAGACCAGUGUAUCAUCGAAAACGGCGAGGAAAAUUGUACAUCCCUCAUUCAAGACCAUUUAACAUGUAUGAGGAAACUUGGA